GUGUGACGUAGGCCUAAGUGUUAAAAAGUGUCCAAAAAAAGUUUUGGGCUACCGUGAAUACCAUGAGAUCAUAAUUUUCCAUAAUUUUUGUAUAUUCAUAGUUUGGCAUGUCUGUCCGCUCUUGGCUGUUACUCUGACUGUCUUCGGUUGGUCAAUAAUUGGCUGGAGACGGACGGCCAGUCAGCAGACCUCUUCACUCUAAGAGCUCGCCUUCACCACCAGCUCAAUCAGAUGACUUUGUGCUAUCUUGACUUGAGGUCAGGCUGAAACCGUGCUGUCCAGAGGCACAGGCACUGCUGAAGAGGCUGAAGGAAGCAGCGGAUGAUUCCCAUCAGGCAUCUGUUGAUAAGUGCUUCUCCUGGAAUCUGUACAGUGAAGCCAUCAUGCUGCUGAACAAGACCAUAGAGAAACAGAGAGACGCAAGUGAGCUGUUCAUCAACAGAGGAGGUGUGGACUGAGAAAU